rnacentral:lncRNA from 1 species
AGAUCCCGCGCGCGGGCGCGCAAUCUGCUCCAGGCUCCGGGGAAACUUUGGGGCUGCUGGUUGGCAACAGUGGACUAAUGUCCUCAUCAUGAAGGCUGCGGGCUGCAAGAGGAGAAGGGACUCCAACUCCAGAUGGCACCUCCUGCUAGCCCAAGGGCCAAGAGAUCCAAUUCCUCCAGUUUUAUUUCCAGCUUUUUAAUAUCCUUGCAGCCUCAGAGUGCGUAAAGCAAACUAUCAUUGCCAGCAUUUAGUUAUAUACUGAUGAGUCCAACGAACCUCUGAACUAAAGUUGUCUGUGGCACUGAGAAGUAACUAAGAAGGCACUGACAGAAGGACCUGACUUGUGGACCUUGGUAGCUUUCCAUGAGGGUGGGUGUUAUCAUACAUGUUUCUCAAUGAUGGUUCCUGUAGAAUCUGGCCUUCAAAGGCUAGAGAUUUUUCUUCACUAAAUCUAUGGAACAAAAUUCUCUUCCUCAACUGCAGAAGCUUCAUAACAUUCUGUUUAUGAAAAGCAAACAUUCUCUAUUUUGUUUUUAUUUACAUUUAUUUGUCUGUGCCAUGUGUCCACUGAAGUAAGUCAUACAAUGUACAAGAAUAAAAAGAAAUUUAGACCAAAAGAAGAAAUGACAUAAGAUACUAUCUAACAUGUUUGUGUCCUGAUUUUUAGUGGCCACAUAGAUAUUUGUGUCUCCUUUACUUUUGUUAUUGUCUUGAAAAGCUACAAUAAAUAUUAUUGCUCAUAAAGCUUAAGAUUUAUGUUUGAAUAUGACAAUGAAAACUUUAUCAUGGGAAUUCCUGGGACAAAAAGCAUGUUCUCAAUGUUGAUGGAUGUCAUCACCUUCCCCUCUACAACAAUUAAACUGACUCCCAUCUUCCAUAGCA